rnacentral:rRNA from 1 species
UCGCGGAUCAGCAUGCCGCGGUGAAUACGUUCCCGGGCCUUGUACACACCGCCCGUCACACCAUGAGAGUCGGGAACACCCGAAGUCCGUAGCCUAACCGCAAGGAGGGCGCGGCCGAAGGUGGGUUCGAUAAUUGGGGUGAAGUCGUAACAAGGUAGC